GACAGAGGGUGCAAACGUUGUUCGGAAUUACUGGGCGUAAAGCGCGUGUAGGCGGUUAUGCAAGUCGGGUGUGAAAGCCCGGAGCUCAACUCCGGAAGUGCAUUCGAUACUGCGUAGCUAGAGUACUGGAGAGGAUGGUGGAACUCUCGGUGUAGAGGUGAAAUUCGUAGAUAUCGAGAAGAACACCGGUGGCGAGGGCGGCCAUCUGGACAGAUACUGACGCUGAGACGCGAAAGCGUGGGGAGCAAACAGG
rnacentral:rRNA from 1 species